AGGUACACCAUUUACUCUCCCAAAGAUGGGCAGCCCUGCAUGGACCAUGACAGACAGACAGGAGAGGGAGUUGGGCCUCAAGAGUACACCCUGAUUAAGAUGAAGAUUGUGGAGCCUUACCCAGCAAAAUUGAGUGGCCUUAAAGGCAAGAAUGUUUUUCUGGUGGCUGCGACUCUGAGGCCUGAAACCAUGUUUGGUC